rnacentral:rRNA from 1 species
UACGAAGGGGGCUAGCGUUGCUCGGAAUUACUGGCGUAAAGCGCACGUAGCGGGUCGGUAAGUCGGGGGUGAAAUCCUGGAGGCUCAACUCCAGAACUGCCCUCGAAACUCGCUGAUCUUGAGUUCGGGAGAGGUGAGUGGAACUGCGAGUGUAGAGUGAAAGUUCGUAGAUAUUCGCAAGAACACCAGUGGCGAAGGCGGCUCACUGGCCCGAUACUGACGCUGAGGUGCGAAAGCGUGGGGAGCAAACAGGAUUAAGAAACCCUGGUAAC